CGAACGCUGGCGGCGUGCUUAACACAUGCAAGUCGAGCGGAAAGGCCCUGCUUUUGUGGGGUGCUCGAGUGGCGAACGGGUGAGUAACACGUGAGUAACCUGCCCUUGACUUUGGGAUAACUUCAGGAAACUGGGGCUAAUACCGGAUAGGAGCUCCUGCUGCAUGGUGGGGGUUGGAAAGUUUCGGCGGUUGGGGAUGGACUCGCGGCUUAUCAGCUUGUUGGUGGGGUAGUGGCUUACCAAGGCUUUGACGGGUAGCCGGCCUGAGAGGGUGACCGGCCACAUUGGGACUGAGAUACGGCCCAGACUCCUACGGGAGGCAGCAGUGGGGAAUAUUGCACAAUGGGCGGAAGCCUGAUGCAACGACGCCGCGUGCGGGAUGACGGCCUUCGGGUUGUAAACCGCUUUCGCCUGUGACGAAGCGUGAGUGACGGUAAUGGGUAAAGAAGCACCGGCUAACUACGUG
rnacentral:rRNA from 1 species